rnacentral:rRNA from 1 species
UACGUAGGGUGCAAGCGUUGUCCGGAAUUAUUGGGCGUAAAGAGCUCGUAGGCGGUUUGUCGCGUCUGCUGUGAAAACCCGAGGCUCAACCUCGGGCCUGCAGUGGGUACGGGCAGAUUAGAGUGCGGUAGGGGAGAAUGGAACUCCUGGUGUAGCGGUGGAAUGCGCAGAUAUCAGGAAGAACACCGAUGGCGAAGGCAGUUCUCUGGGCCGUAACUGACGCUGAGGAGCGAAAGCGUGGGGAGCGAACAGG